rnacentral:rRNA from 1 species
UACGAAGGGGGCUAGCGUUGUUCGGAAUUACUGGGCGUAAAGCGCGCGCAGGCGGUUCUUUAAGUCAGGGGUGAAAGCCCAGAGCUCAACUCUGGAAUUGCCCUUGAAACUAGAGGACUUGAGUACGGGAGAGGUGAGUGGAAUUCCGAGUGUAGAGGUGAAAUUCGUAGAUAUUCGGAAGAACACCAGUGGCGAAGGCGGCUCUCUGGGACGGUACUGACGCUGAGACGCGAAAGCGUGGGGAGCGAACAGG